rnacentral:sRNA from 1 species
GAAUGAAAAGUGCUUAACUGCAUUUUUUCUUACACAUGUGUUUUUCUUUUUUUGAAAACUUUGCUUUGGUAGGCCUUCUAUAUGGGGCCUGCCAGAGAUUAAACUCAACCAAAUUUUAUUUAAUGUCAACCGAUUAUUUAAUAGUCAAAACUUUCAACAACGGAUCUCUUGGUUCUCGCAUCGAUGAAGAACGCAGCGAAAUGCGAUAAGUAAUAUGAAUUGCAGAUAUUCGUGAAUCAUCGAAUCUUUGAACGCACAUUGCGCCCUUUGGUAUUCCAAAGGGCAUGCCUGUUUGAGCGUCAUUUCUCCCUCAAACCCUCGGGUUUGGUGUUGAGCGAUACGCUGGGUUUGCUUGAAAGAAAGGCGGAGUAUAAACUAAUGGAUAGGUUUUUUCCACUCAUUGGUACAAACUCCAAAACUUCUUCCAAAUUCGACCUCAAAUCAGGUAGGACUACCCGCUGAACUUAAGCAUAUCAAUAAGCGGAGGA